AAAGAGAGAGAGAGAGAGAGAGAGCUAAGCGAAGAGUGCGUCGGUGUAUGAGUGAGCGCGAAACAAAAAGAAGCAUUGCUAUACUAGUGUUGCUAUACUAUGCUUUUAGUAGAUUCAUGCAUUUCCCCGCUCGCUUCUUUACAGAGGCGCAAAGAUUUAAAAUCGACAAAAGUAAAUUGUUCGAUUGUACUUUGUUUUGAAGUUCUCUUUCUAUCGCGUGCACGUCUCGAAUCAUCGAAAAGGCGAUCAGCGUGAACGAUUGCCAGAUAGAAGAACGAUCGUUACGUACUUACAUACUCAUAAAGACGAAUAGAAAAAGAAAUGGAAAGCGAACCGGUAAAGAGGGAAAGGGAUAUAGAAAUAGGAACAGAGAGAAAGAGAAAAAGGAAAAGUUUUGAUCCGGUCGUCUUCAACUUUUUUACCCGCGUCUACGAUAACCGAUUGACACAGAUUAGUAUCGGCAUUUUCUCACCUGAUGAUCGCGUAUGGCAUUCUUCAGCUUGUUUUGCACGUAACGUGAGCGAGAGAAGGGGAGGAUGGGGAGCCUCCUCCUCCCCCCUCCCAGCCGCCAAAUCGACGAGAGCCGCGACGUACGAACGAACACCAGCAGCGUGCACUGCUACUACCACCACUAUACUAUCAUCACCGUCACCACUACCAGCAGCAGCAGCAGCUCUACCACUACCACCGUCGACGGCACACUAUACUACAGUACCACACCACUAGACCGCGAGAAGACAGGAGCGAGGCGCGGACGAGCGGAUCUCUUGAUCGUUCACACGCGAGAAUAUCUUUGAAAAAAAUUACUUUUUACUUAAGUUUUACCGAUUGACACUUUUCCGACCACACGAAUAAACGAAAUGGAAAUUCAGAUCGUAACGAAACAA